UACGAAGGGGGCUAGCGUUGCUCGGAAUCACUGGGCGUAAAGGGCGCGUAGGCGGGUUCGCAAGUCAGGGGUGAAAUCUUUCAGCUUAACUGGAAAACAGCCCCUGAUACUGCGAGUCUCGAGGGAGGUAGGGGCAUGUGGAACUUCCGGUGGAGCGGUGAAAUGCGUAGAUAUCGGAAGGAACGCCGGUGGCGAAAGCGACGUGCUGGACCUCUUCUGACGCUGAGGCGCGAAAGCUAGGGGAGCAAACGGG
rnacentral:rRNA from 1 species